CUACGGGGUGCAGCAGUGGGGAAUAUUGCACAAUGGAGGAAACUCUGAUGCAGCAACGCCGCGUGGAGGAUGACACUUUUCGGAGCGUAAACCCCUUUUAUAUAGGAAGAAGAUGACGGUACUAUAUGAAUAAGCGCCGGCUAACUCCGUGCCAGCAGCCGCGGUAAUACGGAGGGCGCAAGCGUUACUCGGAAUCACUGGACGUAAAGAGCGUGUAGGCGGAUUAAAAAGUCAGAAGUGAAAUCCUAUAGCUUAACUAUAGAACUGCUUCUGAAACUCUUAAUCUAGAAUAUGGGAGAGGUAGAUGGAGUUUCUGGUGUAGGGGUAAAAUCCGUAGAGAUCAGAAGGAAUACCGAUUGCGAAGGCGAUCUACUAGAACAUUAUUGACGCUGAGACGCGAAAGCGUGGGGAGCAAACAGGAUUAGAUACCCUUGUAGUC
rnacentral:rRNA from 1 species